GAUCGUGUACCUACCCGAAGUCUAAAUCCGAUUGUGGCUUUGGAUUCAUUCCAUAGCGGGUGAAAGUCCCGUGCGGGUAGGACUCAUUCGAAUCGCACGGUCCUCAGAUGUGCAUGCUUUCGAGUCGGAUUGCUUGAGAAUGCAGUCCAAAGUGGGUGGUAAACUCCAUCCAAGGCUAAAUACUGGCACGAGUCCGAUAGUAGACAAGUACCGUGAGGGAAAGUUGAAAAGUACUCUGAAGAGAGAGUAAAUAGUACGUGAAGCCGAUUGCAGGGAAGCUGGUGGAGUCAAGCUUCGUGCUUGAGGGAUUGAUGCUGGGAGCAGGUGUGUGAUAUGGAUGUGAGGUUGGACGACUUGGAAUAAGUUGGGCGUGUUCUGAAUGCGCUUCAAGUCAUUCUGGGUAGAGUGUUAUGAGCCAUCCUCGCUUUCCUACUCUCAGUGUUGUAUUCUUCGCUGCACAAGCCACAGUCAAUAGGUGCAUGUGGUGUGAAGGCCUAACUGUGCUUCGGCGGGUGCAAGCUCUCCGGGUGCAGGAUGGCAGGUGCUGUCUUCGGGCCCUGUGUUCGUUGAUAGUUGUUGUGGUUUCGACCGGCUGGUCUUCAUACUGUAUUGUGCUUAUUGCCUAUAAAUGGCGUAG
rnacentral:rRNA from 1 species